CGUUGACCGCUACGAAGAACCACUGCGUGUGUUUCCAGACUUAGGCUGCUGCCAAGAUGAAGUACUUCUCUUCAGUCAUCGCCUUGCUGUUCGUGAUUUCAGUCUUCGUGGGUAUCAGCUACGAAAGCUCGCCGGGUGAUGCGACAACAGAUGGCGAAUCUGAAGACUUCGCCAACUAUGGCAAAUAUGAUCCACAGCGGUUUUAUCCUUAUCCUUAUCGUUUUCCUUCAUCUUAUCCUUAUCCUAUUGGCUAUCGACUGAACAAAUAGAGGACCGAGGACGAAAGACGUGGUAGUCUUUAUCACGAUAUGUGCAGCCGUAGCUGCAUACGCGGGAGCUACCGCUUCGGUUUUUGCGAACCAGCAUAUGCUACCUACUUCGCCUGCUUGACUUAUUUGCGAAUGUGUUGCACCCUCCUCUCCUUCUUUUAUGUGGUUCACAUGCACUAGCUUCUAUUGGUGAUCUACGCACAAUACACUGAUGCGAAUAAAGCUGAACUUUGCUUCA